rnacentral:rRNA from 1 species
GGGGAAUAUUGGGCAAUGGGCGCAAGCCUGACCCAGCAACGCCGCGUGAGGGAAGAAGGUCUUCGGAUUGUAAACCUCUGUCCUUGGGGACGAAAAAAAUGACGGUACCCAAGGAGGAAGCUCCGGCUAACUACGUGCCAGCAGCCGCGGUAAUACGUAGGGAGCGAGCGUUGUCCGGAAUUACUGGGCGUAAAGGGUGCGUAGGCGGCAAAGCAAGUCAGAUGUGAAAUCCCCGGGCUUAACUCGGGGGGUGCAUUUGAAACUGCAUUGCUUGAGUGCAGGAGAGGAAAGCGGAAUUCCUAGUGUAGCGGUGAGAUGCGUAGAUAUUAGGAAGAACACCAGUGGCGAAGGCGGCUUUCUGGACUGUAACUGACGCUGAGGCACGAAAGCGUGGGGAGCAAAC